rnacentral:lncRNA from 1 species
CUGAACGCAUCCCAGGAGACUUGACCCUCCCCGCUUCAGGAUGCUGACUCUGUUUUGCCUGAAACCAGACAAGCUCUGCUUCAGGGUCUGUGAGUGGAAGGGGGUGGGUGGGAACCUCUCGCAACCUCUCCUGGGACAGACACAAUGGGCAAUCGUGACCUCCUGGGGUAGAUACUGAAACUGUGACAAGUGAUAACAAAACUGGCAGAAAUCAGUUGGACCCAAUAUGGCCAACUGGAGUUUCUGCAGAAAGAGCUUGCUGAUAUCACAGCCUGAAUUUCCACGCAUGUUUCGUAUUAACUGCCCCGGAAUUUGAUUUGCACACAGCACCCAUGAGGAAGCAUGAAGAGAUAACUGCGCAUGUCUGAGGACUUGCCAGACCUCCUCUUUCCUUCCACCGAUCUCCUGCUAAUCCCGGAACCCACCCUCUAACCCUUUUCUAAUAAAAUUAUUUCCUUAAAGGCAGCACAGCGAGACAGAUUUGAGCUGGACUCCUGUCUCCGUGUUGGUCAAUUUGCAAUGAAAAGCUUUUCUUUUCUCUGAAACCCAGUGUCUUAGUAUUUAUUGGCUUCUAGCGCACGGGUCAGUGACCUCUUUUGCUCGGUAACAACAUAAUGGGCUAUAAUGACCUCCUGGGGCAGACGGACGGGCAUUAAUGACGUCCAAGCCAAACUCAUGAGUCUCCUUUCUGCAGGCUCGAUGGGAAGGUCCUUCUUGCCCAUUAAUAAUAUAAAAGAGCCGCAAAGGGCAACAACUUGUCCUUUAUCUUAGAAUCGCUGUCUUGGCAUGCCACAGACUACAGGACUUCUAAAAGCUUCAGUGUUGAAGCUCCUGAAUCUUCAUAGGGUGUAUCUCCCAUCUGGUGCACAUGUGUCUUCCUGAGUGUCUUCCUACGGCACCAGGUCUAACUGAUAUGACAACAUCAAUAUGGCGGAACAGCAUGAUGUGUGUGGAAGGUCUGGAUGAGCACUGUACCUGCAGAUCACAUGUGACAGAGAGAAGAAGGUUACACAGCCUGGGGAAGUCUAGUGGAUUGUGCCAUCCCGACCACGUAAGGGCAGACUGUUUUAUUGAUGGGGAUAAAGAAGAAUGAAUUUUCCAGAAUAAGUGCUCCAUACCAAGUGCCAAAGCCCACUGAAGACAGCACAUCUACUACUGGGGCUACCACUUGAUUAAGUUUAAGACAGUUACUGUCAUUUGCUACGGUCCAGUUGAUUUUGAUAGGGGCCCUACAGGGAUGGUGAAUGGGGAUAUGACGGGACCACUACUCCUGCAUCUUUUAAGUCUUUGAUGGUGUUGAUCUCUGCAACUGUUCCUGGAAUGUGGUGGUUUUUGCUUCUGAUUUACUGUCUUGGAAGGGUGUGCAAGGAGUGGGGAUGGGAAGUUUCAGGGGCUUCCUCUUGGCUGACUCUUCUGUAAUGAUCCUUCUUACACAGGUGAGGGAACCAAUUUAAAGAUUCUACCAAUCGCUAGGUAUGUCUAUCCAAAUUAUACACUUAGGGACCAGAGAAAUAACUGCAGAGAAGAUCCGUGGGCCCAUCAACUCACUGUCAUUCAAACUUAGGUAAAACGCCAUUUAUCACCUGGCCACUUCAAGUCCCCACUCUAAUAGGGGCUUGUGAUGCUGUUUCAGAUCCUCUGAAAUCAGGACUAGACAUCACAUCUAACAGUUCCUGGUGGACCCACGACUAACCAUUUUUUCCCUUUUUAUCCCCCCAGAACAGAAGAACUUGAUAUAUCUAACCUCUUUUUUUUUUUCUUUUUGAGAUGGAUUUCAUUCUUGUUGCCCAGGCUGGAGUGCAAUGGCGUGAUCUUGGCUCACCAUAACCUCUGCCUCCCAGGUUCAAGUGAUUCUCCUGCCUCAGCCUCCCCAGUAGCUGGGAUUACUGGCGUCUGCCACCAUGCCCAGCUAUUUUUUUGUACUUUUACUAGAGACAGGGUUUCACCAUGUUGGCCAGCCUGGUCUUGAACUCCUGACCUCAGGUGAUCCACCCGCCUUGGCCUCCCAAAGUGCUGGGAUUACAGGAAUGAGCCACCAGGCCCGGCGCCUAACCAUUUUUGAAAAGUCAGGGUAUUCCCUUUUUUUCCAAGGCACAGUCAAACUGACAAAUGGCUGAAGGCUCUUUUGGGGAAGGGCUGGGCACUAUGUACUGUAUGUACUGUGUGGCCGUGUCUCUCGUGCUGUGGAUAUCACACCAGAUGGCAAGUCAGGACUCCUGUGCUGCUCCAUUUCUGGCCUCGGUUGCCUCACUUGUCAAAGGAGGAUGUUUUCAGACAUACUCUUUGGGUCCCUCGGGAUUGGCCUGGGUGCUUCUGGGUCCUGGGAGUGGGGUGGGUCGUACUCCUCUUUCAGCCGGAACAUCUCUGCCUUUAUCUGUUUUACAUAUGGGGCUUCCACUUAAGAUUUCAUAUGAGGAAAAAUUUCUCAGCUAAAAAGCCAUCUGCAGAGCCGGGGAACUACAUGAUCUCAUUCAGCCUUAAUAACGUGAGCAAAUGUAACCCCUUCUGGGCCUGAGCUUCUGAUCUCUAAGAAGGGAUAAUAGUAUUGACUUCCCAGGUGCUUGUACAGAUGGAGAGUUUAGAGAAGUCUUCAGGCAUGCUGUAACUCUUAGAAAACCUGCAAGAGAGGAGCUGGUGAACAAUCUGGAGGGGGCUGUGUAAGAAAAUUGAACCACUGUCUUUUCAGGGAGACCCUAGGACAGGCCUGUCACACUGUGUACCUGCUAUUAUGUGGAGCUGUUAUAAUUUAAAUGUGCUGCCAGUUAACUGCAAAACCAGUAACAACUGAUGGUCUGUCCUCCCUAUCAGCCUGUGAGCUCUUGGAGGGAAGGGACUGUGGUGUUCAUCAUUGUAUUUUUUGAAAUUCUGACCCAGAGCCGGGAAUCCUGAACUGAAUCAUGAAAACAGCAGUGUGAUUGGAAGUUGCAGACAUCCACUCCCACACCUGCAGAGAAAGGGUGCCAAAGAACCCACGGUACCGGGUUGCCCCUUUCCUUGCACGGGAGCAGGACAGGUGGCCACCCCUUUUGAGGAAUGGCCAGGGUGAAUUAGCUGUGUGGCCUUCUCUCAGCAUUCCCUACAGAGCCAAUUUCAGCGGGCCUUUCAGAUAAUUAUCAUAAAGAGAACUUUGAGGAUACUAUCAAGAUAGUUAGCAAGUAAAAGUACUGUAGGAGAUUCCACACACACACUCACACACACUCAUACAUAUACACACAUACACACAUACACAUUCACACACACUCAUACACACAUACAUACACACACAUUCGCUCACACACUCAUACACACAUACACAUACAUACACACACAUUUGGACACACACUCGUACACACACAUACACAUACACACAUUCACAUACACAUAUACUCGUACACUCAUUCACACACACUCAUACACAUAUACACACAUACAUUCACACACACAUACACAUACAAACUCAUACUCACACAUUCACACACACAUACAUACACACAUUACACGCAUACACAUACACACAUAUUCACAUACACAUACACACAUUCACACACACCCACCCUCAUACACAUAUACACACAUACAUGCAUACAAUACACAUACACUCACACACACUCACACACUUGCAAUCACACACAUACACACUCACACACACAUACACUCACACACUUACACACAUUCACUCUCACACACAGUCACACACACACUCACAGAGAGAGAGAAGGGAGAGAGGAGAAGCCCAUAGCGUUUUUCCUGCCGAUACUGGUUGCAUUUCAUUCUUCUAGGUAUCAUCUUGUUAUGGGCUGAACCGUUUCCCCCACAGAACUCAUAUGUUGAAGUCCUAACUCCCAGUACCUCAGAAUGUGACUGUGUUUGGAAACAGGGUCUUGAAAGAGACAAUUAAAAUGAGACCAAAUGAGUGGGCCCUGACCCAACAUGACUGGUGUCCUUAGAAGAAGAGAUCAGGACACAGACACACACAGAGGGACGACCCUGUGAGGACACAGGGAGAAGAUGGCAUCUACAAGCCAUGGAGACAGGCAUCAGAAGAAGCUGAACCCGCGGAGGCCUUGAUCUUGGAGCUGCGGCCUCCAGAGCUGUGAGAGGAUAAGUUUCUGCUGUUUAAGCCCCAGUCUGAGGUCUUUAUUAUGGCAGCCUGAGCUGCCCGAUGCACAUCUCUGUUGCAGAAACAUGUCUUCUCACAUGCAGCUGCUCAACAGAGCUGCAUUCAAGAAUAAUACUUUAGUAGAAUAC